GUAAUGUUUGUGCUUCUUCAAUUUUUACAUUUUGCUGAGUUAUUUAGCAAACUUAUCUCCAGGGAACUAAUUUGUAUUCAUUUUUCCCCCUUUCUGAAGAGAUGUUUCACUUUUAUUGGAUCAAGGAUUCAAGACACAGACACACUACUUCUUUCACCUAUUGUCAAAUGACAUGUCCAUAUAACUUGUUAUGUUGGUUGUGCAAUUGUGAAUGUGAUAAGGAUACUGUUAGAGAGGGUGAACAUGUUUUUGGUGUUGCUCACAUUUUUGCAUCAUUCAAUGACACCUUUAUUCAUGUGACUGAUUCGUCUAGAAAGGAAACCCUUGUCCACAUCACUGGUA